ensembl:lncRNA
AUGAACUAUAACAACCACAAGUGCAUCUACAGCAUCAAGAUUGACGACGGCAAAGACAACACAGCCCAUUUUCCCAUUUACUGGCUCAUCCAUGUUGGGGUUGACGCUCAUUUCCACUUCAAACCACCUCUGGUUGGAAUUCUACAGCGAUGCAGAAAACACAGGAGAAGGAUUCAAACUGGUGUACUCAAGUAAGUUAGCAGUGAACACCACUGUUUAGUAUAGAGCUAAGGCCCAAUCUGUUUCUCCAAGACUUCAUUGAAGAUUCAUUCAGGAGGUGGCAAAAAACCCCACAACAACAUUUCAGGUUCCACUUGCCUCAUUUAAGGUCAGAGUUCAUGAAAUGGAAGUUUUAGAGUGGCCUAGGACUUAAAUCAGAUUGCAAUUCUUUGGCAUGACCUUAAACAACUCAUGCUCAUGCUUGAAAAGCCUCCAUUGUUUCUGAAUUAAAACAAUUCUGCAAAGACGAAACUUGAAGGCUCACUGCCAGGUAUCACAAAUGCCUUAUUAUACUUGAUGCUGCCAAAGGUGGUAUAACCAGUCAUUAACUUAUUAGGUUUAGCAGACAAUGACAUUUUCCCACAGGGCCAGGCAGGUUUGGAAAUCUUUUUUGCUUAAUUAAUAAAUUAAUCAUCAUUUAAAAAGCAUAUUUGUAUUGACUCUGCCAGUAUCUUUGUCUAGUCUUUGAAUUUUUUUGCAUUAUCUGGGGCAGAUGUACAUACAUUCUAGCAGUAUGCCUCAAAUUAUUCACCAGUUAGAUGCCUCAUGACAGCUGCUGAUUUCUGACAAAUGCAACAGGCUUACUAGAACAGUUUAACUCUAAAUGGAUGGAUCACAGAAGGAAAAAUGAAAUUUUCCACUGAACCGAUCACAAGAAACAUGUCACGUUUGAUUAACAAAGCUUUCAGCAUAGGACGACGUGGUAAACAUGUGUUUUGAUGUUCAACAAAGCACACCCACAUUUGGCAGUGCCCUCUUAGACGCACAGUUGGAAUUCUAAUUGUUUAAAUGGUGUCAUGAAGAGUGAUCGCUUAGUAUUAUUCACUUUGAAGUGUCAGGAUCCUGGGUCUGACCCAGUGUUGAGUUUCUUGUGUCUCAGUGUUUUUGUGCUAUGAUGUAUGUUCUAAGUUCUCUUUGUUGCCCCAGUUUAUUCUAUAGUCUAGUGUCUUGGGUUUCUUGUAUUCUGUUUAGUUUUCUGAGUAAUUAGUAGCUGCCCUCUGUGCCUCCUUUAUGUUGAUCUCUGUGUUUCUUUGUUGCUCUGUCUCCCCUGUCAGCUGUAUCUCCUAGUGCAGUCCACGUCUCUGUGUUACAUUUCCUGUUUUACUUUAAAGGUCUGUGUCCUACGUGAAUAUAUUGUGUUUCGCUUCCCUUGGCUCUCGUUAUCUCUGAUUGCUCCCACCUGUGCUCCCCUUCUGUGUCUCAUUCCCCUCGAUAUUUCCCAGUGUAUUUAAGGACACGCUGGAGAGAUUAUUGCCGUUUCUCAAUUCUCAAGUACGUGAGUACGUACUCGCAUUCUCGGCGAGUACGUACUGGCCGAGAACGCACGGGAGUACGGACUCGCCGAGAACGCGAGUACGUACUCACGUACUUGAGAAUUGAGAAACGGCCU